UACGUAUGGUGCAAGCGUUAUCCGGAUUUACUGGGUGUAAAGGGAGCGUAGGCGGCGCGUUAAGUCUGAUGUGAAAACCCGAGGCUCAACCACGGGAGUGCAUUGGAAACUGGCGGGCUGGAGUGCCGGAGAGGUAAGCGGAAUUCCUAGUGUAGUGGUGAAAUGCGUAGAUAUUAGGAGGAACACCAGUGGCGAAGGCGGCUUACUGGACGGCAACUGACGCUGAGGCUCGAAAGCGUGGGGAGCAAACAGG
rnacentral:rRNA from 1 species